GACGAACGCUGGCGGCGUGCCUAAUACAUGCAAGUCGAGCGAUGAUUAAAGAUAGCUUGCUAUUUUUAUGAAGAGCGGCGAACGGGUGAGUAACGCGUGGGAAAUCUGCCGAGUAGCGGGGGACAACGUUUGGAAACGAACGCUAAUACCGCAUAACAAUGAGAAUCGCAUGAUUCUUAUUUGUAAGAAGCAAUUGCUUAACUACUUGAUGAUCCCGCGCUGUAUUAGCUAGUUGGUAGUGUAAAGGACUACCAAGGCGAUGAUACAUAGCCGACCUGAGAGGGUGAUCGGCCGCACUGGGACUGAGACACGGCCCAGACUCCUACGGGAGGCAGCAGUAGGGAAUCUUCGGCAAUGGGAGCAACCCUGACCGAGCAACGCCGCGUGAGUGAAGAAGGUUUUCGGAUCGUAAAACUCUGUUGUUAGAGAAGAACGUUAAGUAGAGUGGAAAAUUACUUAAGUGACGGUAUCUAACCAGAAAGGGACGGCUAACUACGUGCCAGCAGCCGCCGUAA
rnacentral:rRNA from 1 species